AUACGUAGGUGGCGAGCGUUGUCCGGAAUUACUGGGUGUAAAGGGCGUGUAGGUGGGGAUGCAAGUUAGAUGUGAAAUACCGGGGCUCAACUCCGGGGCUGCAUCUAAAACUGUGUUUCUUGAGUGCUGGAGAGGGAAGUGGAAUUCCUAGUGUAGCGGUGAAAUGCGUAGAGAUUAGGAGGAACACCAGUGGCGAAGGCGGCUUCCUGGACAGUAACUGACGCUGAUGCGCGAAAGCACGGGUAGCAAACAGGAUUAGAUACCCUGGUAGUCCGUGCCGUAAACUAUGGAUACUAGGUGUAGGGGAUUUUAUAUCUUCUGUGCCGCAGUUAACACAAUAAGUAUCCCACCUGGGGAGUACGGCCGCAAGGUUGAA
rnacentral:rRNA from 1 species